rnacentral:rRNA from 1 species
AUACAGAGGGUGCAAGCGUUAAUCGGAUUUACUGGGCGUAAAGCGCGCGUAGGUGGCUAAUUAAGUCAAAUGUGAAAUCCCCGAGCUUAACUUGGGAAUUGCAUUCGAUACUGGUUAGCUAGAGUAUGGGAGAGGAUGGUAGAAUUCCAGGUGUAGCGGUGAAAUGCGUAGAGAUCUGGAGGAAUACCGAUGGCGAAGGCAGCCAUCUGGCCUAAUACAGAACCUGAGGUGCGAAAGCAGGGGGAGCAAACAGGAUUAGAUACCCUGGUAGUCCAUGCCGUAAACGAUUUCUACUAGCCGUUGGGGCCCUUGAGGCUUUAGUGGCGCAGCUAACGCGAUAAGUAGACCGCCUGGGGAGUACGGUCGCAAGACUAAAACUCAAAGGAAUUGGCGGGG